GAUGAACGCUGACAGAAUGCUUAACACAUGCAAGUCAACUUGAAUUUGGGUUUUUAACUUAGGUUUGGGUGGCGGACGGGUGAGUAACGCGUAAAGAACUUGCCUCACAGCUAGGGACAACAUUUGGAAACGAAUGCUAAUACCUAAUAUUAUGAUAAUAGGGCAUCCUAUAAUUAUGAAAGCUAUAAGCGCUGUGAGAGAGCUUUGCGUCCCAUUAGCUAGUUGGAGAGGUAACGGCUCACCAAGGCGAUGAUGGGUAGCCGGCUUGAGAGGGUGAUCGGCCACAAGGGGACUGAGACAAGGCCCUUACUCCUACGGGAGGCAGCAGUGGGGAAUAUUGGACAAUGGACCAAGAGUCUGAUCCAGCAAUUCUGUGUGCACGAUGAAGUUUUUCGGAAUGUAAAGUGCUUUCAGUUGGGAAGAAAGAAAUGACGGUACCAACAGAAGAAGUGACGGCUAAAUACGUG
rnacentral:rRNA from 1 species